GGCCACCUUCGGGGGGCUUAUCACAUAGGCGGAUCCCGAUCCGCCGUUAGCUAACGGAAGACAGAAA
rfam:Roseovarius indicus strain B108 contig17, whole genome shotgun sequence.